rnacentral:lncRNA from 1 species
GAGCUACUUGCUGGUUCAUCAAUGAAGCAACCCGAAGUGAUGAAGAUGUAAGGAACGCAUCCUACGCUAGCACUGUUGCAGUUGGAAAGGUAAGGUCCUCCCCAUGAGCCUGGCAGAUGUCCAUGUUCUCUUAAGAGCUGUGUGAUGCCAUGCCCCAAGCUACACACCGAGGGUAAGGCAGCCCACUGACAUCUUCUUCUGUUGUGUUGUGUUGUGUUGUGUUGUGUUGUGUUGUGUUGAGAGUUUCGUUUAUAACCAAUACUACGGUCAACAGAAAGGUCUGGGGUUUUGCUCAUUUUGUCUUUUAAAAUGUAAAAGAAGCAUUUAUUUAUUUCUUUUAAGAAGGUUCGGUUUCAAUACAUAGCCUUGUCUCACUGUGUAGUCUUAGCUGGCUUGGACUCCUUAUGUAGAGCAGGCUGGCCUCAAACUCACAGAGAUCUGUCCUGCCUGUCACCCAAGUUCGAAGACCACAGGUAUGCAUCACCGUGGUGCCUUUCUCCAAAGCAGUUUUGUGGCAUGUGUUGAUGGGUAGAUGUCACUGCAUGGAGGUGGCAGGGACCAGGAGGCUCUCUGGCAAGGUUGUGCCCUCAUUGUACUGAUGAGUUGUGCUGACCUGUAAAAUGUGGUUAGCAAGGUCAGUCUGUUUCUGAAUGCUGUAUUUUGGUAGAGUACAAAGUAUUACCUAUCUAUGCGGCUGGUUCUGUGUUUAUGGUAGGCAAAGCUCCCUGACUCUAAACUUACUUAUGGACUCAUUAUCUAUUGAAUGCUCUGUUACUUCCAUACAUAAAUGUUGAGUUUAUUUCACUUUGUUUUUCGAAGGAAAACCAUAGAUGUCGCAGGUCCCAUCCAUUACUCUGCUGGUGUUCUGGGCACAGUGCCUUCACUUGGUCCUGUGAACCACACAGUGAUGAUUGUCACUGGAGGCUCAGAGGGUUGGCUUGGGGACCUGUUUCUGUCAGAGCUUUCCCACAUAGGUAGACCUGAGGCAGGGUGAGCACCUACUGCUCCUUCCAGGUAGAAGCAGCAGUGAACUCCCUUGCUGCUGAGUUCCUGCUGCGCACAUGCAGUAAGGCCUAAUGGAGGAGUCCUUCUGCAGAAACGAGUGCCCACUCUGUCCCUGUUCUCUGAAGUGUUUGCUCCCGUGUCUGCUGAACAUGGCAGACUUCUUAAGAGAAUCAACAGGUUUUGGCUUCAGUGUGAAAAUGGCUCUUUCAAACUGAAAUGCCUUUCAUGAAGGACCUGAGUUUGUUUCAUUCACAAAUUGGCAAUGUUUCAGGGAUGGGAAAAUAGCUUUCAGUUCUUAGAAGCAGAGCGGAAUGAAGGUAGCUCUAGCUUUGUUAUUUCAGGUCAAGUUCCUAACAGGGAGUUCUGACCCCAGGCCCUUCUGUCCCCUGAGUCUAAGGUAUGAUAUGUUGCUUGGUGUACUAGCCUUUCUUAUUUCAAAAACAUUUUUUGCACUUAAAUCUACUUGUCUGAAGUGAUAGGUGUUGUUUCAGAAAGCUCAAGUGUGCUUCAAAUUCAUGCUUGCUGCAUUCCUACAAAAAGGAGCGAUUAUUUGGACAUUAAAAGUAGGCUGGCUUUUAUAAAGUAUUUACCACAAGAUUGAUUUAAAUGGGUGUUCUCUUGGAGCUUUUCAAAUCUGAUGAUUUGAGAAAACGUAAGUGGUUCCUCAGUAGAGUUGGGACAAGACAUCUAUCUAACGCAAGGCAUGUAAGAGGGUAGAGAUCAUGGAAAGAGGUCUUCUGUCAACUGCAGAGACAUAAAUGAUGUGUGUAUGUGUGUGUACAUGUGUGUGCAUGUGUGUGGGCAUGUGUGUGCAUGUGUGUGCAUGUGUGUGGGCAUGUGUGUGCAUGUGUAUGUUCAUGUGUAUAUGUGUGCAUGUGUGUAUGUAUAUGUAUACGUACUAAUGGAUUCACCAUACUUGGUGUCUGUGUGGAGGCCAGAGGUAACUGCUGGCAAUCUCCUUCAGUCUUCUUCUACCAUAUUUUAAAGAUAGGGGACCCUCUUGCCUACAUGUCCCUAUGACUAAGGUUCCAUGCAGAUGACAUUUUACAUUCGUGCUUGUGACUUAAACUCAAGUCUUUACCCUUGGGUAGCUAGCAUUUCCCUACACUGAACCAUCUUCCACAUUCAAGAUUUAAAUUUAGAAAAUCAUUUACUUUUGCGAAGUUUUCCAAAGAAAGACACCUUUAUUGUUGCCAGAGUACAUCAGAGAAAAAG